CCUACGGGAGGCUGCAGUGGGGAAUAUUGGGCAAUGGGCGCAAGCCUGACCCAGCAACGCCGCGUGAAGGAAGACGGCUUUCGGGUUGUAAACUUCUUUUAAGAGGGAAGAGCAGAAGACGGUACCUCUUGAAUAAGCCACGGCUAACUACGUGCCAGCAGCCGCGGUAAUACGUAGGUGGCAAGCGUUGUCCGGAUUUACUGGGGGUAAAGGGCGUGCAGCCGGGAAGACAAGUCAGAUGUGAAAUCCCGCGGCUCAACCGCGGAACUGCAGUUGAAACUGUUUUUCUUGAGUACCGGAGAGGUCAUCGGAAUGCCUGGUGUAGCGGUGAAAUGCGUAGAUAUAAGGAAGAACACCAGUUGCGAAGGCGGAUGACUGGACGGCAACUGACGGUGAGGCGCGAAAGCGUGGGGAGCAAACAGGAUUAGAUACCCUUGUAGUC
rnacentral:rRNA from 1 species